UAAAAAUACAAAAAAUUAGCCGGGCGUGGUGGCAGGCGCCCGUAAUCCCAGCUAUUCGGGAGGCUGAGAGGCAGGAGAAUCGCUUGAACCCCAGAGACGGAGGUUGCAGUGAGCCAAGAUGGCGCCACUGCACUCCAGCCUGGGCGACAGAGCGAGAGACUCCAGCAGAACGAGACUCCGUCUGCCCCACCCACCCCCCGCAAAAAAAAAAUGUUAGUGAGUGCGACCAGCAGGGCUGCUGUGUCCCACGAGGGUUCUGGCUUCACCAGGGGAUAAGACCAUAGCUUUGGCCAUUAGGCUUAACAUGGCUGCCCCAAUUUUAGCGUCUUGCUCUUGCACCCAGGACCAUGUUUGGCAUGCGAUAAUUUCUCAUUAUCUAUCUUUUGAAAAAAAGUGGAUAAUUCCCAAAGUCAGCUCUUCAGUCAUCUCACCGCUCAGCACCUCACUGCAGUCACGCUGAAGUACAGGUCAUUCCUGAACUGAGAUCUCUGCAUUUGCACUUUCUCUGCUUGGAAAUUUCUAUCCCCGGCUCUGCUCAUGGUUGUCUCUUUCCCUGUCAUUC
rnacentral:lncRNA from 1 species